GAACCCAAGGUCUCUGAGCUUGAUGGCCAGCUUGGAGGGCACAAUGAUAUUGAAUGCUGAACUGUUAUCAAUGAACAGCAAUCAAAGUAAAUCAA